UUGGAUUUAUGGAUAUUUACAUGGGCCAUUUAAAACUUUGUGGACGAUCGACUGACUGGUUAUCAUGCCUACGUUUGAAUCUUGGAGAAUUGAGGUAAAAUUUGUUUCUUUUAUUAGAUGGAAUAAUCCAGUUGUAUAUGUAAACCCACCACGCAAAUUUUUGUUGCUCUUCGUUUUUUGCUUUGCAUGACAAAUGUAGAGUUGAUCGACUUUUAUUGUUUUCAAGGUCAAUAUGGACUAGAGAGGUAAAGUUUCCCGUUUGUAUUCAAGAUUGUGAUGUACGAUCCAAGAAAAAAUCAUUGUUGUUGAUUGAGGGCUUGGUUCCAUGAAACUGAGCAACUAAAUAGUCAUUUCGAAGUGCUUGAGGAUAAUGAAAGUUUGAGCUCUGACUUCAAGUACUCUAUAGUCUUCGUAAGAGAGUCUGGAAUCGAAAUGAAACUGUCUCGAGGUUUGAACAAAAGAAACUCUAAGGGGAACCGACAGAAUAGGGAUAGAGCUGGGCGAGGAUUCUCGUUCGUGGCAACUAUGGUUAGAGUAGAAUAGCGUUUUACCACAUGUUUCUAGAAUCAUUUUCUGAUGCUGGAGAUCGUCUGGUUAGUAAAAUAAUAAAGUAGGUUCUGAUGUCAACAGGAUAAUAUGAUAUACGUGGAUCAGUUCUAUCAUCAAUGAAUCAAAUACAUUAAUAGCUUGCACCUUACGUUAUCUUAAACUCGUCACACAACACUCUACCUUGUCUUUUGUGAAUGGCAACUCUGGUUUACGAUAAUCGAAUUCCUCUUCCUCUUCUUUUUUUUGUUGGUUUACUUCUCGAUGCCUUGUUGCAGAUACUGAAUCAAGUCGUAGCCAGCAGUAGUCCACUUGUUAUACGCAUCUGUACACACAUGAAUCAUGAAGUGUGCAGCUUCACGUUCGCUCAUCU
rnacentral:lncRNA from 1 species